rnacentral:rRNA from 1 species
CCUACGGGGGGCUGCAGUGGGGAAUAUUGCACAAUGGGCGCAAGCCUGAUGCAGCCAUGCCGCGUGUGUGAAGAAGGCCUUCGGGUUGUAAAGCACUUUCAGCGGGGAGGAAGGCGUUAAGGUUAAUAACCUUGGCGAUUGACGUUACCCGCAGGAGAAGCACCGGCUAACUCCGUGCCAGCAGCCGCGGUAAUACGGAGGGUGCAAGCGUUAAUCGGAAUUACUGGGCGUAAAGCGCACGCAGGCGGUCUGUCAAGUCGGAUGUGAAAUCCCCGGGCUCAACCUGGGAACUGCAUUCGAAACUGGCAGGCUAGAGUCUUGUAGAGGGGGGUAGAAUUCCAGGUGUAGCGGUGAAAUGCGUAGAGAUCUGGAGGAAUACCGGUGGCGAAGGCGGCCCCCUGGACAAAGACUGACGCUCAGGUGCGAAAGCGUGGGGAGCAAACAGGAUUAGAUACCCUUGUAGUC